rnacentral:rRNA from 1 species
AACGCUAGCUACAGGCUUAACACAUGCAAGUCGAGGGGCAGCACAAGGCAGCAAUGCUGAGGUGGCGACCGGCGCACGGGUGCGUAACGCGUAUCCAACCUUCCCGUUACUCAUGGAUAGCCUUCCGAAAGGGAGAUUAAUACAUGAUGGUGUUGAAAUUCCGCAUGUUAUUUCAACUAAAGAUUUAUCGGUAACGGAUGGGGAUGCGUGACAUUAGAUAGAUGGCGGGGUAACGGCCCACCAUGUCUACGAUGUCUAGGGGUUCUGAGAGGAAGGUCCCCCACACUGGAACUGAGACACGGUCCAGACUCCUACGGGAGGCAGCAGUGAGGAAUAUUGGUCAAUGGCCGGAAGGCUGAACCAGCCAAGUAGCGUGAAGGAUGAAGGUUCUAUGGAUUGUAAACUUCUUUUAUACGGGAAUAAAACCUCCCACGUGUGGGAGCUUGUAUGUACCGUAUGAAUAAGCAUCGGCUAACUCCGUGCCAGCAGCCGCGGUAAUACGGAGGAUGCGAGCGUUAUCCGGAUUUAUUGGGUUUAAAGGGAGCGUAGACGGGAGAUUAAGUCAGCUGUGAAAAGUUUGAGGCCCAACCUUAAAUUGCAGUUGAUACUGGUUUCCUUGAGUGCGGUUGANGUGUAUGGAAUUCGUGGUGUAGCGGUGAAAUGCUUAGAUAUCACGAAGAACUCCGAUUG